UACGUAGGGGGCUAGCGUUGUCCGGAAUCAUUGGGCGUAAAGAGCGCGUAGGCGGCCAGAUAAGUCCGGUGUGAAAGUCACAGGCUCAACCUGUGAAUGCCGCUGGAAACUGUUUGGCUAGAGUCCGGAAGAGGAGAGUGGAAUUCCUGGUGUAGCGGUGAAAUGCGCAGAUAUCAGGAAGAACACCUAUGGCGAAGGCAGCUCUCUGGGACGGUACUGACGCUGAGACGCGAAAGCGUGGGGAGCGAACAGGG
rnacentral:rRNA from 1 species